AGCGAACGCUGGCGGCAGGCUUAACACAUGCAAGUCGAGCGGGCAUCCUUGUGGUGUCAGCGGCAGACGGGUGAGUAACGCGUGGGAACGUGCCCUUCGGUUCGGAAUAACUCAGGGAAACUUGAGCUAAUACCGGAUACGUGCGAGAGCAGAAAGGUUUAUCUGCCGAAGGAUCGGCCCGCGUCUGAUUAGCUAGUUGGUGAGGUUAUGGCUCACCAAGGCGACGAUCAGUAGCUGGUCUGAGAGGAUGAUCAGCCACACUGGGACUGAGACACGGCCCAGACUCCUACGGGAGGCAGCAGUGGGGAAUAUUGGACAAUGGGGGCAACCCUGAUCCAGCCAUGCCGCGUGAGUGAUGACGGCCUUAGGGUUGUAAAGCUCUUUUCUUCGGGACGAUAAUGACGGUACCGGAGUAAUAAGCCCCGGCUAACUUCGUG
rnacentral:rRNA from 1 species